rnacentral:rRNA from 1 species
GAUGAACGCUAGCGACAGGCUUAACACAUGCAAGUCGAGGGGCAGCAAGAAUUUACUUCGGUAAAUUUGUUGGCGACCGGCGCACGGGUGAGUAACGCGUAUGCAACCUACCUAUCAGAGGGGGAUAGCCCGGUGAAAGCCGGAUUAAUACCGCAUAAAACAGGGGUCCCGCAUGGGAAUAUUUGUUAAAGAUUAAUUGCUGAUAGAUGGGCAUGCGUUCCAUUAGUUAGUUGGUGUAGGUAACGGCUCACCAAGACAUCGAUGGAUAGGGGUUCUGAGAGGAAGGUCCCCCACACUGGUACUGAGACACGGACCAGACUCCUACGGGAGGCAGCAGUGAGGAAUAUUGGUCAAUGGACGAGAGUCUGAACCAGCCAAGUCGCGUGAAGGAUGACUGCCCUAUGGGUUGUAAACUUCUUUUAUAAGGGAAUAAAAAGGGGCACGUGUGCUUUAUUGCAUGUACCUUAUGAAUAAGCAUCGGCUAACUCCGUGCCAGCCGCCGCAGUAAUAC